CGGGGUGUAGCGCAGUUGGUAGCGCGCCUGCUUUGGGAGCAGGAUGCCGCAGGUUCAAAUCCUGUCACUCCGACCA
rnacentral:tRNA from 4 species